rnacentral:rRNA from 1 species
AGAGUUUGAUCAUGGCUCAGGACGAACGCUGGCGGCGUGCUUAACACAUGCAAGUCGAACGAUGAAGCCCAGCUUGCUGGGUGGAUUAGUGGCGAACGGGUGAGUAACACGUGAGUAACCUGCCCUGGACUCUGGGAUAAGCGUUGGAAACGACGUCUAAUACCGGAUAGGACCUUCGACCGCAUGGUUGGGGGUGGAAAGUUUUUCGGUCUGGGAUGGACUCGCGGCCUAUCAGCUUGUUGGUGAGGUAAUGGCUCACCAAGGCGUCGACGGGUAGCCGGCCUGAGAGGGUGACCGGCCACACUGGGACUGAGACACGGCCCAGACUCCUACGGGAGGCAGCAGUGGGGAAUAUUGCACAAUGGGCGAAAGCCUGAUGCAGCAACGCCGCGUGCGGGAUGACGGCCUUCGGGUUGUAAACCGCUUUUAGUAAGGAAGAAGGGGAGCUUGCUCCUUGACGGUACUUGCAGAAAAAGGACCGGCUAACUACGUGCCAGCAGCCGCGGUAAUACGUAGGGUCCGAGCGUUGUCCGGAAUUAUUGGGCGUAAAGAGCUCGUAGGCGGUUUGUCGCGUCUGCUGUGAAAUCUGGAGGCUCAACCUCCAGCCUGCAGUGGGUACGGGCAGACUAGAGUGCGGUAGGGGAGAAUGGAAUUCCUGGUGUAGCGGUGGAAUGCGCAGAUAUCAGGAGGAACACCGAUGGCGAAGGCAGUUCUCUGGGCCGUAACUGACGCUGAGGAGCGAAAGCGUGGGGAGCGAACAGGAUUAGAUACCCUGGUAGUCCACGCCGUAAACGUUGGGCGCUAGAUGUGGGGACC